rnacentral:rRNA from 1 species
UACGUAGGGUGCGAGCGUUAAUCGGAAUUACUGGGCGUAAAGCGUGCGCAGGCGGUUUUGUAAGCCAGAUGUGAAAUCCCCGGGCUUAACCUGGGAAUGGCAUUUGGGACUGCAAGGCUGGAGUGUGGCAGAGGAGACUGGAAUUCCUGGUGUAGCAGUGAAAUGCGUAGAUAUCAGGAGGAAUACCGAUGGCGAAGGCAGGCCUCGCUG